rnacentral:tRNA from 1 species
GGGCGAAUGGUUUAGUGGUAUAAUACUCCCUUAGCAAGUUCGUUCCUCGCCUCUGGGAGUGGUCCAGGGUUCGAUUCCCUGUUCGUCCA